ACAGAGUUGAAGGUUAUAUGAUGAGUUAAGCGCCUCAAAGGUAGUAGCAUACCCCUAAUUUUUGUACAUUCCUAAUGUUCUGGAAACCUGAGGGAUUCACUGCAUGUGAAUAUAUAAAUAAUGGUGGCAUCAGAUGCUAGAAAGCACAAUUCUUGUUUCAGGUUUAAGGGGUCUAAAACAGCUUGUCCUAUAGAAGUGAACUUCUGCAGCGCCAACUUCACUGGUGAAAGAAAGCAGUGAAACAUAACAUAGGAGAGAUUUGCUUUGUUGAUACACUCACAGGGGCCAAGUACAAACCCUUCCUCUUAGUCUGUGCCUGGUUUACUAUCUAAAUCAGAAAUUGUGUAGGUACAGAAAGACAGAAAGUAAUUUCUGAUACAUGAUUUGAUACAGGUUGAAACACACCUUAUGUGCCUGAAAUAAAGUUCGUAUUGUAUCGAUUCAUGUCACUCAUUCUGAUAUGGGACUGUUUCCAAAGAUAAAGAAACAUUUAUGGGAGAAUAUCUAGGUAAUCAAGUUCCAGUAGGCAUGCAGUGAAUAUAAUUUUGAUUUUGUGGUACUUAAAUUUACAUUCUGGACCUUUAGGGGUCCAGAACCAGAAAGGGGGAGGAUCAUGACCGUAGCUUUUAGUGAAGAUUCCUGUUUAACUGAACAUAGCAUAAAGGCAGAGGAGUGUAGCAAAACCAAAGUACAAUAUGUAAUCAUUUUCUUCCACAAAACUAGGCAUGGUUUAAGGAUGAAUUUGUUAAAACAGAAAUAAGCAAACUGAGAUGUUCUUUUGUUUGCAUCUUUGAAUGUAGAUGCAUCAUUGUCUCAUACAAGGAGCCAAAAAUACCUCUGCCUAUUUUCUUAAUUUGGAUAUAAAGAGAUGACCUUCUCCUAUCUGAAGGUCUGUAUUUUUAGCACCUAAGGUAGGGGCAAUGAAUCCUGCUCGUUGUGACUGACAGGAUAAUUCUUAGGAAGGUUCAGGGAAAAAAAAACUACAGCUGCAGUGUCUCUUAACUACCUACUAUGUUUAUCUACUCACUCAGAAAUUGCUCAGAAGGUAGGUGAAGUGUGAUGUAUUGUUAGUUUUUUCUGUUUUGACUUUAGGGAAAAGAGACCAGCUAGAGAAAUAAUGAAAAAGCUAUGUUUGCAGAGUAGCCCACAGCUGUUAAAUAAGGUAUAUCUGCCUCUAGCUAGGGUAACCUUAGACUGUUGGGGUUUACUUUACCUUUACUUAUUUUAUUUUUAGGAGUACCAUUUGCUAAACAGAACCUGUAUGAAUAUGCUGGUUUUGGCAAGCCCUUCUUCCUUUCAUGUGACACUAUCUCAUCCUUUGCCUUUCUCUUCAAUCCCCCCCAUCUCUUUCUUUCUUUGUUAAUGUAUAAAACACCUGCACACCUCCUGACUAACUUUCUCUUAGAGGAGAUUCCAGUGUUUGGUUAAGUCACGGGAGACGUGGGGAUUUGUGCAGUCCUCUCGCUUUUGCACUGCGGAAGUGAUGACAGAAUAGUCCCGACAGUCACUAGAGAAACUGACACAUCACACCCAAUUAUGCGGCCUCCCCGGCCCCUCACGCCAUUCUUCCCUGAAAUAUAAGCUUUCUGUCUCACGCUCUAUUUUUUUAAAAGAAAUUUGUAAUGUAAAAGAAAAGGGAAAAUGGUGUGUGUGGGGGGGAAGGAGUUAGUGUAUGAUUCUAAAGAAAGCUAUUAUAGAGUAAGUCUUCAGGGGCAUUCAAUAUAUCAGCUUAAACAUCAUUUAAGCACUUGGAAAUAUUAUUUUUAGAAUUCACACAGGAAAAAAGACCAAAUUUAAACUGAUGAUAAUAGAGGAGUCAAGCCUUGUCAUUUACUGUGACACUGCCCAUCAACUGUUGAGAGCUAGUGGGAGUUAUUUGUCAGUAACAAUAAAGUACAAAUACAUACACUAAUCUAUAUCUGCUGGGGAUCCCCCACAGCAUUCAGCCAGCUGUAGAAAAAGCAGAUGAUUUUUCAUGUUAGUACCACAUAUGAAAAAAAAUGCAGUCAUGAUUUUCUUUCCUCAUCCCUAGAAUGAUCUAUCCCGUAAAAGCGAGAUUGCAUGAGCGCCAUACUUACCUUCCUGGUUACAUACUUACCUUGUACCAUACUUACCUACCUUAGCACAUAGUUACCUUGUACAACAACACCUGAUACAACAGAAGAACAAAAUUUGCUUUCAGACAUUUGAUUGUAUUUGUAAGAAGAGGAAUGUUUAGAAAUGAAAAUACAUAUUGCAAUGCUAAUUAAGUGCAUUUGAGCUAAAUUAGAUUCCAGAUUAUAGACAAGGAGUAGUGAUAACAUUUUAUAAAAUCCCCUAAGAAGAAGCUUCCUCCUCUGAACUUGCAUGGAAAAUUUUAUAUUACAAAAUCUACUGCAAAUAAAGGGUUUUCCCAGUGGCUACUACUUAAAGUGCACAAAUGACUGUAGUUUGGGUUUUUCUUGUUCCUUAUUGUUUUUCAUCUUUAAGUUUUGACAGCUGCCCUAUGACAGCAGAAAUAUUCAUGUUGUAAUUAUUUGGCAAUAAUUGUAAUACAAAUUAUUCACAUAUUUUUGUUGUGAAUUGCAAAAUAAGAACUUCAGAAGUUUUCAAGCAGCAAAGACUUUUCUGCUACUGAGCAUGAAAAAGAUUCAGCUUUUCCAGAUUGAGGAAAAAAAGCAUUCAAAACAGAGGAUCAUGAAAGUGGAAAAAAAUUAAGUCCAAGAAUAUUGAAAAUGAGCAGUUGCAAUCACCAUAUGAGAAAGUAAACUCAUCUGAAAUGAGUACAAACUCUUCAUAAGGAGAAAAAGAUGUACUUCCCGCCUUCUGAACUAUUUCAGCAGAGGAGCUUCUAAAGGAAAGAUAGGUACAAGAGUUAAACAGUGUGCAUGUGUUUUGACUGCUUUGCAGCUACAGAAGUUAGAAAGUCUGGAACAUUGGUGAACCAACCUCCCAGGAGGGCUUGUGAGGGCUCCCCUCUGUCUGGGCUUGGCCAAGGUCUGGGGACAGUGUCCACCAUGUCCUCCUGUCUCCCACAGCACUACAAGGGAAGUUUAUGCUGUCUAAGCACCCUUCUUUCCUGAGGAGCUAACAGGCAACCCCAAACUCCUCCUUUUUUCCCCUCUUCUGCUUUUGUAGGUCUGUGACAGGGAGAAGGAGAUUCACACCACUUCAGUAAGCAAUGUGAAAUUGGGUAGAGUACCAAUUUCUUCUGGGCUUCAGCCCUUUGACAGUGCCAUAAACCUUUGCAUCCUACUCCUGUGACUGCCACAAGCAUUUGGUACAACUCUCUCCACCCUUGAUUGUCUUUCCCCAUAUUUGAAACUUUGACAUGUUGAAAGAGCUGAGGAGCAGCUUCACAUUCCCCUUAGCACUCAGGCAGGCAAGGUGCCACUGCACAAUACAAGAGUGUGUUUGUUGCUAUCUGCUUGAGCAGGUGUGUUCACCUACCUAAAAUGCCAGGGGCAAAGUCAGGAUUUGUGCAGAGUCUGGAAGCCCUGCAGAUACAAGCACUGCUAGCACAGAUGAAUUCCAAGCUCCUGAACCAUGUUGGGCUUGGUAUUGAACAAAUUCAUUGCACAUAAACAGCCAGCUCCUUCCCUCUUCAGAGAUGACUGUCCCAAGUGCUGUUGGAGGUCAUUCAUACCUGAACAGAGAGGUUGUGAAUUUAGUGUAGGUGUUCUAAAUCUAACAUAUGUAUCAGUCUUGACCAGCUGUCCUUUAGACCCCUUGUGACAGCAGCUAUGACAGCUCCUGUUUUUCCUUCUGCCUGUACCCCAAGUACCCUGAUCCACCCAGUCAGUCUAGCCAGACACAGUGUGGGUGAUGGACAUUGGAAUGUUAUCUUCUAUUGUAAGGAAAUUGGCUGAAAACAUUCCCCAGCUCACUGCACACUCAAGCUAAGGCUAUAAUAAAGUCCUAUUAAUCGGGCAUCUACCUUCAAAAUACCUGGAGAGAGUGCAGCUAAUCAAUUGGAGAAUGGCAGUGAUGUGGGACUUCCUCCUUCUGGCAAAGCACUGCAGACGAGGUCCUUUGAGGAAUGGUCAGAAGAAUGUUGAACUUCAACAGAAGAAUAUUUCUUAUGGUGAGAAUUCGUACAGCCUCUUGACAAAGAGCAGGUGGGGCAGGCCUGCAGUGGAGAAUGAAUCAUUAGAAAUGCAUUUUACCUGGAGAAAAACCUUCUGGUAUCAUCAUAUAAAGAUCAGUGUUGCCAACCCAGUCUGGAGAUGUGUAUAGAUAUCCCAACUGGAGCAAUCGAUGUGAGGUUGGCACAGACGACCCACGAUGGAUUGGAGGUCUGAGGCCUUCUGCAAUAAUUGGGUGAAAAGGACACCCCAGACAAGAUUCCAAAAAACUCAACAGAGGAACAAAUUGCCCGAGCUUCAAAAUACAUGCAUUCAGAUAUGAGCACAAAUUCCACAAGACUUGGUCAUGAAAAACCUCUCAUCAUCUGCUCCGACAGACAGAUGCAAGGGAAAAAAAAAGCUGCAAGAAAACCUGAAAUGUCCUUUGAGUCUCAGCUGGAAAGCAGAUUAAGCAACACUGAAGCCAUAAAAGAAGUGAUAUUUAAUACAGAUAUGGGAAAAGGACUACUUUGGAACCUAUAUGGUUGAGCAUUCCCAUUUGCCCAGGUUCCAGUACUGGAACGAUGAGUUGUCUAAAAGCUGUUUACAGAAAAUCACCUGUAUUUGAAUGUAUCCGGUGAACUUGAAAGCAUUUAGUAUUUUUCACAUUCUGGAACACAACAGACAACUCAAUUAAGGUUAACGUUGGGAAGCCUGCGGGGACCUCUUUUACAGUUUGCAUCCAAAGACAUACGCGAUCAGCAAAAUCUUUUUAGUUUUACUGCUCCUAUUGAUCUGCUGCUAUUCUGUGCUGCAGCUAAUUUGCUUGUUAGCAGUAAUUUUAAAAGUGGAUGAGACAACCCCAAGGGUCUUUUGCGUAUCCUCUGGUGAAAAGAUAGCAGCAGGUCUUUCAUCCUAUUGCUGCAUCUUCCCUGGAAGCAAUGAGGAGCUACAAGGUCUUACAUCUGCUGGAGACUGAAGUCAGUGGAAACAAGGGAUCAUGCAGCUUAAGAGCCGAGGCAGCAUUUUAGAAAUGAAGGAGUGUCGGAUCACAGAGUACAUCCCUUGCCAGUUCUCAACAAUUUCUUUAGGGAAAUGCUUCCAGGAUAGCCUGUUUAAAGAGCUCUCUGGCCACGCUCGUUCAGUGCAAAUUGAAUAAACAAGCAUCAAAAGAUGGAAGAUAAUGUUCCCAGGCCCCCACUGACUUGGACACAUAGAGUCAGAGAUGUGAGCUGUGAGCCCGGACCAGUGUCUCCACCAUGCCAACUGUGUCGCAGGGCUGAAUGAGGUCUUGCUGCCUUCAUCUCCUGCUUCAGUUUGUUUGACAUCCUCAUGAGCUGGAUUGGCAGAUAUUACCUGAAAUGUGCACCGUUACAUGAACAUCGUCUUUUGCUCGGCCUUUGGAUUAAGAAGCUGCUGUUAUGUUUCAGUUUUUCAGAAAGUGUGGCACUUCACAUCCUCCACAUCCAUGUGAGGAGAGUUAUCAAAACUGUCCUGAAUUAAUUAAAAGUAUAUACAGAACACUGAAAACAAGAAAGCUCUCCUACCACAAAACGUAGCUGUACACAAUGUUAACAGCUGAGGGGCACCUUGAGGAAGUGAGUAUCAUGAAAAAGAGUUAAUCAACAAAAGCAAUCCGGUGUCUUUUGUGGUGGUGCCAGAAACUGGAGAGAACUGGGUGUAUUAUCCACAGCCCCAUUCAUCAUUUUGGACAAGUGGACAAGUAGAAUAUGCCCCACGAUAUCUGGCAGCUCAGACAGGAGUAGUAAGCACAACCAAGUACAGGAAAUCUGAUAUGGACUGGCCUCUACAUAGCAGAAAAGACUAAAAACAGAGCUUGGUCAUGGAUGAAGAAAGCUGCCUAAGCCUACAACAGGAGUGCAGCUGGACAGCCAGGAGUACUCAGUAAAAGUACCUGAUCAGAAUCAAAUGCAGCCCUGCCGUAUGAUGGCAUCCCUGCAGGCUGCACAGGGCAUCCCUUGUAGAAGAAAAGGAGGCAUACAUUUCUUAGUAAUGAAUGAAGCCCAAACCGUAGAACAGAACCAAUCAAACUGCUCAGAACUAAAAUUUGAGAACCACAACAUGACUUGGUGGUAUCCCCAGCCCCCUCAGAUGCUGCGGAGCUGAUAGGCAAAAAAAUCCAGUGGAAGGUCAAAGAUGAUGAUUUCGGAGAAGAGGCAUCAUCUGUGUGAUGGGUGUCCCUAUAGCCUCUCCCAAUCGCUGACAUAACUGAGGUUUCCCCAGGCAUUUACCAGCCUGGGAAGUGAAGGUGAUCAUGAUUCCAGAUCCCAUAUUAGGCAUUCAUGGGUGAGUAACCAUUUCAUAAGACACAACUUAACAUGCCUUGACUGGAGGUAUGCCUGACACUUCGGUGCUCCUUCCCAGAUGAUCCUUCCCAGGCUUGUAGGGAGAUCUGGAUUUCUUGCCAAAUGUCUUCUCUUUCUGCAUUGUACAUAAACAAACGGUCUGUCAGUUUUCUCCAGGGUUAUAUUUUUAUGAAAUCUAUGGAUUUAUAGGUCCUGUAAAAGCAAGGCUUUGUUUUAGAAACUGACCUACAUCUAGAAAAAAAAAGGAGGAUAAAUUCCUUUGAAAGGUUUGAAGCUGAAAAACAGUAUUUUUUUUUAAGUUUUUUGCAGAUGAAGGUUGCUCUGUUCUAUUCAACUGUUUGGGGGAAAAUUAUGAUUUAACAUAAGGUGGUAAUUUAUCUCAGCCACUAAACCUAAAGCUUCAUCUUUAACAUAAUUCUAUCAUUCGUAUUUUCUUCAGCAUGAAACAGAAUUUUGGAGGUUGGACAAAGACACCUUUCAAAAUAUUAUGCUAGUUCUUCAUCAUCUGCUAAGGAUUAGUAUACAAUUGGAAUUAUUGUGCUCUUUCCCCCUUUAUGGCACUCUAUGAUGCAAAUUACAGGAAAAGCAGUACUAGUAAAUCUAUAAAGUAAUUCAUUUAAAACAAACAACAUCUCACAGGGAACCUUGACUUUAUUUACAUCACUGUGAAAAAUAAUUCAUUCAAAUUAGCUUCUAAACCUCAAACUUCAGAAUAACACUGUGUAUAUUUUGAAUUAAAGCAAUUGACUUGCUAGGAUGACUAGAAAAAAAGAGAACUGAUUCUGAUAUGCAAUAUUUUAUCACCUAAUAGUGCAUCAUUUACAAAGACAAAUUGUAAAAUUAUGAACAUUUAAUCUUGAAAUGAUCAUUGAACUUCGAAACAACAGUACAUUUCAGAAGGUGGCCUUCAAUAGAUUAAUGAGUGCUCCUGCCCUUUUCUAUAUCUGAAGGCUAAUUUGUCUGAGGAUGGGUUGUCUUUGAAGUCAAGUUUAAUUUACUACCCAUGAGUCCUUUAAUAGCUGUCUCCACAGCAGAUAUGCUUACAAGGAAAAUCUUACAUGAAACAGGUUCACACCAUACAGAUAGAAAAAAUGCAUCAUAGGCAUUUAUCAAUUUAUCAAUUUUGUCUCAUAAAAUUGAUAACUGCAGUAUUAUGAGGUUUGUUUUCUGACUUCCUUACUAGUAUGCACAGACAGAAGA